CCUACGGGUGGCAGCAGUCGAGAAUCAUUCACAAUGGGGGAAUCCCUGAUGGUGCGACGCCGCGUGGGGGAAUGAAGGUCUUCGGAUUGUAAACCCCUGUCAUGUGGGAGCAAAUUAAAAAGAUAGUACCACAAGAGGAAGAGACGGCUAACUCUGUGCCAGCAGCCGCGGUAAUACAGAGGUCUCAAGCGUUGUUCGGAAUCACUGGGCGUAAAGCGUGCGUAGGCUGUUUCGUAAGUCGUGUGUGAAAGGCGCGGGCGCAACCCGCGGACGGCACAUGAUACUGCGAGACUAGAGUAAUGUAGGGGGAACCGGAAUUCUCGGUGUAGCAGUGAAAUGCGUAGAUAUCGAGGGGAACACUCGUGGCGAAGGCGGGUUCCUGGACAUUAACUGACGCUGAGGCACGAAGGCCAGGGGAGCGAAAGGGAUUAGAUACCCGGGUAGUC
rnacentral:rRNA from 1 species